UCUCCUUUUGAAAAGCAGGAUGUCUUUUCUUCAGGCUCUAUGCAAGGAGAGUAACAUACCACCAGAAGUCUUAUCAUAUGUUCAAAGCUGACUACUACUACAGUAAUCUUGAAAUGAAAAUGAAAUAUUCUCGUGAAGUCUUCUGGAAAUCCUACUUUUUCUUCAAUGUAAUAAUUCUCUGAAUGGAUGGAUCCUCUGAGUUCCUUCACUGUGAAAAAGAUUUGAAGGUGUUGAGACACAACAGCUGUCGUGAAGAAUAUUUUGUAGUGAAAUAUCAAACAAUAGAGCAUUUUACUACACUUCACAUUUAACACGUGAGUUGAGCAGACAAUUACACAUUACCAGUACAUCAAGCAAUGUAACUAUGUGACAAGAAACCAGUUUCACAGCAGCUCUUUUUAUCCGGACUGGCAAAAGAUUUUAAUAGCACAAGGUAACAGCGGUUAAUCGACUGGAGUUUCAGAACUAGAGAAGAGAUAAACAUACAAGAAAAGCAUUAUCUUUCUGUCAAGCUACAGAGCUAGGAAGAUCCAGGAAGAAAGUAGAAUGGAAUUCGAAGAUGUUCUGAACUAUGAAGUCAGCAUUAUCAAGACACAGGGAGGACCACAGGCAGAAGACAGAAGUACCAGAGAUUCAUGGAAGAAAAAGCAGGCAAACAAGUGUGAGUUCAGGAGGAUUUGUGCAUUCAUCAUAAAUCAGCCAAGAGAUAUCAACAUCCAAAAGGAGGGGUAGAAGCUUGAGUUGCAACCAAGAAAACCAGCUGAGAAGAUUCACCCACACAGUAUGUCUGAUAGCAUUACUGAUGGUACUCACUUCCUAAGCAAUUUCCCAUUUAAAAAAAGCAACUGGUCUGCAUCUGCCUUUCUGAACCAGCAGAUAAGAAAACAAAAAUAGACAUUGCAUUAGUAGACUUCCCUUUUCUUUUUUCUUAUUGCUUGAAGUCAUAUGAUCAGUUUUAUAUUAUCCUGGAGCAACAUAAA